UGGCGGCCGUAGCGCGGUGGUCCCACCUGACCCCAUGCCGAACUCAGAAGUGAAACGCCGUAGCGCCGAUGGUAGUGUGGGGU
rnacentral:rRNA from 2 species